UACGUAGGCAGCAAGCGUUGUUCGGAAUUACUGGGCGUAAAGAGUGUGUAGGCGGUGCUCCAAGUCUGGUGUGAAAUCUCCCGGCUCAACUGGGAGGGUGCAUUAGAAACUGGAAUGCUAGAGGAUGGGAGAGGUAAGCGGAAUUCCUGGUGUAGCGGUGAAAUGCGUAGAUAUCAGGAGGAACACCAGAGGCGAAGGCGGCCUGCUGGGCUGCACCUGACGCUGAGCCGCGAAAGCCAGGGGAGCGAACGGG
rnacentral:rRNA from 1 species